UACGAGGGGGGCUAGCGUUGCUCGGAAUUACUGGGCGUAAAGGGCGCGUAGGCGGAUAGUUUAGUCAGAGGUGAAAGCCCAGGGCUCAACCUUGGAAUUGCCUUUGAUACUGGCUAUCUUGAGUUCGGGAGAGGUGAGUGGAAUGCCGAGUGUAGAGGUGAAAUUCGUAGAUAUUCGGCGGAACACCAGUGGCGAAGGCGACUCACUGGCCCGAUACUGACGCUGAGGCGCGAAAGCGUGGGGAGCAAACAGG
rnacentral:rRNA from 1 species